rnacentral:rRNA from 1 species
CAGUUGGAGGAUGGCUUGGCUUGAGAAGAGAUGAAGGACGUGGCAAGCUGCGAUAAGCUCAGGGUAGGUGCAAGCGACCAUUGAUCCUGGGAUGUCCGAAUUGGAAUCCUAUGCGCAAGCAUACUCCAUUACAAUGGUAGUGGAGAUCGAACCGUCGGAAGUGAAGCAUCUGAGUACGACGUGGAAAAAAAAUCAACAGAGAUUUCCCAAGUAGCGGCGAGCGAAACGGAAACAGCCCAAACUGAAUCUGCCAUGGCAACAUGGUAGAGAUGUGGUGUCGUUAUGGUAUUACGAUCCAAAAUUCUCAGCUCAAGUGGCCUGGAACGGCCUGCCGUAGAGGGUGAAAGCCCCGUGAGCGAACGAAAAAGGGAUCUUACCAUAACACGAGUAGUUGUCCUUGGUAGUGGGCAAUGAAUAUAGGUGAAAGUAGCAUCUAAGGCUAAAUAUUUCUCAAGACCGAUAGCGGACUAGUACCGCGAGGGAAAGCUGAAAAGUACCCCGGAAGGGGGGUGAAAAGUGCCUGAAACCAACUGGUUACAGACGUACAUGGCAUGAAAGGAGUUUUUGUCAGAUUGGAGGUUCUAGCAAUAGGGCUGAAGGUCUGGCGUUCAUAGCUCUAGUGUCAUGUGUUCCGUCUAGAAACACGGGCCAGGGAGCUUACCGUUAUGGCAAGCCUAAGCUUUUGCAGAGCGGAGGCGAAGGGAAACCAAGUUCUCGCAGUGUACAACGAGGAGAAGCGUGUGAAAGUGCGUUGAGUCAUAGCGGCAAGGCUAGAAACCAGACGAUCUAUCCCUGAACAUGACGAAGUUGGGCGAAAGCCCGAUGGAGGUCAGUAGCAGUUCUAACGUGCAAUUUGUUUGUGUGAUUUGGGGAUAGGGGUCAAAAACCAAUCUAGUCUGGUGAUCGCUAGUUCCUAACGAAGUGUAUCGCAGUACAGCCUCUGUGGAGGUAGCGUGUCCUGUAGAGCACCGAUAGGGCAUGUCGGGCGAGAAAUCGUUCGCUGCCCAUUCGAACUCCGAAGGGAUGUGCGCCGUAGAAGCAGGGAGACGGAUUUACGUGGCGUAAGGCUCGUAAUCAAGAGGGGGACAACCCAGACUGAGGUUAAGGUCCCCAAGUUUCUGCUAAGUGUCAAACUAAAGGGCGUAUCUAGGCCAAGACAGCAGGGAGGUAAGCUCAGAAGCAGCUACCCUUUAAAAAGUGCGUAACAGCUUACCUGCCGAGCCUGGGUGCCCCGAAAAUGGACGGGGCUAAAGCAGAACACCGAUACCUCGGAUAUUUGUAGAUAUACAAAACAUGGUAGUUAGGCGUAAGGAUUGGGUCGAAGCAGGGCUGUGAAGUCCUGUGAACCGAUCCCUAUUGCAGAUCCUGGCGGCAGUAACAGCAUAGUGAAGUGAGAAUCUUCACCAUCGUAAGCGUAAGGGUUUCCCGGCAAUGCGUCGUCAGCCGGGAGUUAGUCGAUCCUAAGGUUAACCUCAACAGAGUUGACUGAAUGGGAAACUUGUUAAUAUUCAAGUACCUUGCAGAUGACGUUAUAAUCUAGAAAUCGCUUCAGGAUAGGGUAUACAGAACCGUCGUUCUGUCUAACAGCCCAAGGGUCAGGGAGUGUCGUAAUGACGAGAACUGGCUCGAGGCUGGAAUGGCUUGGCGUUAGCUGAGUUCGCUCAAAUCCAGGAGACCUUGAAAAAUUUCGUAGUGAGCUAUUUGCGAAGAUCGUACCGAGAACCGACACAGGUGCGCUGGAUGAGAAGUCUAAGAUGUAUCGGGUAUACCGUAGGCGAGGGAACUCGGCAAACUAGUCCUGUACCUUUGGUAUAAGGGAUGCCUGCGUAGGUAAUGAAGAAUUGCCAUCGUAGGUCGCAGUGACAAGGGGGUCCCGACUGUUUAAUAAAAACACAGGUGACUGCUAGGGAGAAAUCCUUUGUAUAGUCACUGAAUCCUGGCCAGUGCAGGUACCUAAAACCUGGGUUCAACUGGGCUAAGGGCCUGUAAACGCCGGGAGUAACUCUGACUCUCUUAAGGUAAUUGGAUUGCCUUAGUAAAAUCUGGCCAUAUGCUGGAAAGUCUGAAGUAUGUCGGGCUAGGUUAUUUCAAAAAAAAUUUGGAUAAUCUGAAAAUGCCAUGACUGCAGAUAAUCAGCAGGAAAGGCUAGAAGGUUUGAUCAAGAUUACAAAUCUUUGAUGAUAAACGAACAGAAAAGAUCAAACGUUUUCUAGAAUCCUCAGAGACUCUACGCCAGAAAUCGUUGUAAAACGAUUAAGAUAGAGUCCGACCCCUGCAGCGAUGCAGGGAAGUUUGCAACAAAAAGCAAACUCGCCUCGAUUGUUUUGAGGUCACUUAAGUAACAGAAGUGAGCCAAAUGCCUUGUCGGGUAAGUUCCGACGUGCAUGAAUGGAACAACGAGGGCCCCGCUGUCCCCGCCUACAACCCGGUGAAGCCACAUAAGCUGGACGAACAGUCCAGCAUCUUCCAUCGGGGAGAGAAGACCCCGUGGAGUUUUACUGCAUCUUGUGCUUGCGGUAUGGUGGAAUUUGCAUAGAGUAACUGGUAGCCAUGCUAAUGCCUUUUCGGGGGCAUUGGAAGCGAAAGUGUAACACCAGUCAUUUUUCUUCGUACCGCUUACCAGGGUAAAAUCUGGGACAGGUGCAGGUGGGCAGUUCGGCUGGGGCGGCACCCCUUUGAAAAGAUAUCAAAGGGGCCCAAAGUUCAGUUCAUACGGGUCAGAAAUCCGUAGUAGAGGGCAAGGCCAAAAACUGGACUGACUGGAUCUCCAAACGCACGGGAUUCAGAGACGAAAGUCGGGCCUAGCGAUCCAUGACGUCCCCACUAUUGGGGGCUCGUGGUGACAGAAAAAUUACCCCAGGGAUAACAGGCUCGUCGCGGGCGAGAGCUCCUAUCGACCCCGCGGUUUGGUACCUCGAUGUCGGCUUUUCCCAUCCUGGCCCUGCAGCAGGGGCCAAGGGUGAGGCUGCUCGCCUAUUAAAGGGGAACAUGAGCUGGGUUUAGACCGUCGUGAGACAGGUCGGACUCUGCCUGAUGGAAGCGUGGUUGCUUGAGGGGAAGUUGCUCCGAGUACGAGAGGAACAGAGCAACGUAGCCUCUGGUUUAACGGUUGUCCGACAGGGCAGGCCGUGCAGCUAAGCUAUUUGGGCUAACUCCUGAAAGCAUCUAAGGAGGAAACCCAUCCCGAGAAAAGGCAACCCGUC